rnacentral:rRNA from 1 species
UCCUACGGGAGGCAGCAGUGGGGAAUAUUGCACAAUGGGGGCAAGCCUGAUGCAGCCAUGCCGCGUGUGUGAAGAAGGCCUUCGGGUUGUAAAGCACUUUCAGUUGUGAGGAAAAGUUAGUAGUUAAUACCUGCUAGCCGUGACGUUAACAACAGAAGAAGCACCGGCUAACUCCGUGCCAGCAGCCGCGGUAAUACGGAGGGUGCGAGCGUUAAUCGGAAUUACUGGGCGUAAAGCGCACGCAGGCGGUUUGUUAAACUAGAUGUGAAACCCCCCGGCUCCCCCUGGGAUGGUCACUUACAACUGGAACACAAACUGUGUUGGAGAGAAAGGAAAUUUACUCCCUGUAUUCAUUU